CCUACGGGUGGCAGCAGUGAGGAAUAUUGGUCAAUGGACGAAAGUCUGAACCAGCCAAGUCGCGUGAAGGAUGACUGCCCUAUGGGUUGUAAACUUCUUUUAUAUGGGAAUAAAACGUUCCACGUGUGGGAUUUUGUAUGUACCAUAUGAAUAAGGAUCGGCUAACUCCGUGCCAGCAGCCGCGGUAAUACGGAGGAUCCGAGCGUUAUCCGGAUUUAUUGGGGUUAAAGGGAGCGUAGGUGGAUUGUUAAGUCAGUUGUGAAAGUUUGCGGCUCAACCGUAAAAUUGCAGUUGAAACUGGCAGUCUUGAGUACAGUAGAGGUCGGCGGAAUUCGUGGUGUAGCGGUGAAAUGCUUAGAUAUCACGAAGAACUCCGAUGGCGAAGGCAGUUCACUGGACUGCAACUGACACUGAGGCUCGAAAGUGUGGGUAUCAAACAGGAUUAGAUACCCGUGUAGUC
rnacentral:rRNA from 1 species